rnacentral:rRNA from 1 species
CGCGUGUGUGAAGAAGGCCCUCGGGUUGUAAAGCACUUUCAGCGAGGAAGAACGCCUGUCGGUUAAUACCCGGUAGGAAAGACAUCACUCGCAGAAGAAGCACCGGCUAACUCCGUGCCAGCAGCCGCGGUAAUACGGAGGGUGCAAGCGUUAAUCGGAAUUACUGGGCGUAAAGCGCGCGUAGGUGGCUUGAUAAGCCGGUUGUGAAAGCCCCGGGCUCAACCUGGGAACGGCAUCCGGAACUGUCAGGCUAGAGUGCAGGAGAGGAAGGUAGAAUUCCCGGUGUAGCGGUGAAAUGCGUAGAGAUCGGGAGGAAUACCAGUGGCGAAGGCGGCCUUCUGGACUGACACUGACACUGAGGUGCGAAAGCGUGGGUAGCAAACAGGAUUAGAUACCCUGGUAGUCCACGCCGUAAACGAUGUCGACCAGCCGUUGGGUGCCUAGAGCACUUUGUGGCGAAGUUAACGCGAUAAGUCGACCGCCUGGGGAGUACGGCCGCAAGGUUAAAACUCAAAUGAAUUGACGGGGGCCCGCACAAGCGGUGGAGCAUGUGGUUUAAUUCGAUGCAACGCGAAGAACCUUACCUACCCUUGACAUCUACAGAAGCCGGAAGAGAUUCUGGUGUGCCUUCGGGAACUGUAAGACAGGUGCUGCAUGGCUGUCGUCAGCUCGUGUUGUGAAAUGUUGGGUUAAGUCCCGUAACGAGCGCAACCC